UACGUAGGGGGCAAGCGUUGUCCGGAAUCAUUGGGCGUAAAGCGCGCGUAGGCGGCCCGAUAAGUCCGCUGUGAAAGUCAAAGGCUCAACCUUUGAAUGCCGGUGGAUACUGUCGGGCUAGAGUCCGGAAGAGGCGAGUGGAAUUCCUGGUGUAGCGGUGGAAUGCGCAGAUAUCAGGAGGAACACCGGUGGCGAAGGCGGGAUCCUGGGCCAGUACUGACGCUGAGGAGCGAAAGCGUGGGGAGCAAACAGG
rnacentral:rRNA from 1 species